rnacentral:lncRNA from 1 species
ACACCUCACAAAACCUUCCUUUUUGAGCAAUUGAAGUUUUACAUUUAUCUUUUUCUUCUCAAAUCCUUCAAUAGAAGCUAAAAAGAAUCAAGAUGAGUUAACAUUUUCCAUUUUCGUUUUUUUAUUUUUUGCUGAACCCACAAAACCCUUUUUUCCCCAAAAUUCCAUUUUUGCCUUUUAAUUGAAUUCCUUUUUUCCCUAUUUGAUUUCGUGGUGACAAGAAUCACAUGUUUUGUUUGCGUUUUUGUUCUUUAGGAGAGGUUUGAUCUGUGUUGUUUUGCUGGGCGAAUUUUGUCCUGUUGAGAUUGUAUUUUUAAGCGUUUACUGUAACAGGAGGGGUUUGUGUAGUUUUGGUAGGUGUUGUUAUGUUGGGGGCGUGAGGAUGCUUUAUUGUCCUCUGUAAUUUUGAGCUCAUCCCACUAUCUUUGUGGAAGCUCUUUUCAUAUAUAUAAUAUGCUGUUAAAAAAAAUAGCAUGAUCUCCAUUGUUCAUUAUGUAUUGCUCUUACACAC